AGACAUGCCACUGAAUUGCUUUUGCCUCUCAACCUUGGAGGCUUCAUCUAAAAAAUGCCAUAAGGUUAUACUGUUUCACAUUCAGCUCUUUGGAGACAUUAUUAGUCACAGAGUUAACAAUCUUGUAGGCAUUAUGUUUGGAGAGGAGUGCAUUACUAGGCUCAACAUUAACCUGUCCAUCAAAGAAGCUUUUGCUGGGCAAAGAAUUAGCUGCUAUGCAAACUUGAACACAUUCAUUUCAGUUUGACAAUGAUGGGUCUACGUGUAGUAGAGUUCUUUUUCGUCUAACUUUCCCUGCCUCCCUCCACCCCCCCAAAAAAAACUUUUAAAAAGAAUUGGAUCUCUCUCUGACUCUAUUUUUAAGUUGUUCAUUUCUCACAGCUGAAAUGACCAGGGCUAGGAAUGUUAUUCUUUGAAUGAAUAUAUAUGGAAUGAAUACAGAUGAUGCUUUGCCAUAUAGACACCAUGCCCUACAGAGAUGAAAGUCUAUAGAACAGGGAUGGAAUACCUUUUGACCUCCAUAUGUUGUUAGACUCCAGUUCCCAUGUGCCCCACCCAGCAGUGCCCAAUAGUUAAGAAUGGUGGGCGUCUUAUAUGGUCCCCUGGAGGGUCUACAUAUUUCUCAUCCAUUUCCACAAAGUAAAACAGAACCUCGUCCUUUGCCUCCUCACAUGGCAUGCACAGUCACUCAACAUACCAAGCCAUUAUGCAGAAUAUGAUGUCUGUGCCUCACAUAUUAAUAUCUAGCUCCUCCCCCAUCUCUGUUUAGUUCAUCUCUGUAAAGGUAAAUGUAAAGGUACCCCUGACCAUUAAGUCCAUUCACGGACGACUCUGGGGUUGCACAUUCAUCUUGCUCUUUAGGCCAAGGCAGCCAGCGUUUGUCCACAGACAGCUUCUGGGUCAUGUGGCCAGCAUGACUAAGCCACUUCUGGCGAAACCAGAGCAGCGCAUGGAAAUCCCGUUUACCUUCCUGCUGGAGCAUUACCUAUUUCUCUGCUUGCACUUUGACAUGCUUUUGAACUGCUAGGUGGGCAGGAGCUGGGACCGAACACCAGUUGCACUCAAAUGUGUUGUAGCAUGCAGACUUAGAGACUGACUUACAAAUGAGGAAGUCCCUAGUUCAGUUUUUUCUCUGACAUGAAUUCACUAGGUGGCCUUAUGAAAACUUUUUUUCUCUCUGUAAGUUCCAACACUCCCACCACUACCAAUCUUUAAUAAGGGAUUAAGAAACUGUAUUUCUGGCAUCUUGUUCCGUGUUGUGGUAUGGUUGUUGAUGAAGUAGUCUGCAACCUGUAAAGACUUACAACAGUAUAAAUAGGUUCCUUUUGAAGAUGCCUCAUGGCUCUUGGUUUGUAAAUUGCUUUGUAAAUUGUGACAAAUAGCAUAGUGUUUGUGUUGAGUGCUCAGUAUGUUUAGUUCUCUUCCACUUCCCAUUUUGUGCAGGUAAAUACCAGCUAUCUCCGACAGUCAACAUGCCGCAGGAUGACAUGGUCAUUAUAGAAGAUGAUAGAUUACCAGUACUACCUCCACAUCUCUCAGACCAAUCAUCUUCCAGUUCCCAUGAUGAUGUGGGCUUUGCAACAGUAGAUGGUGGAGCCUGGAGCAAACCAACAAUUAAUGAGUCAACAGAAUGGUAAGGCUCAUGGCCACACAAACCAUUACUUCUACUUAUCAACAGUUCAUGUGCUUUUCACACCUGCAUUUUUCAACACAGAGAGGAGCAGAAUUAUAGGCUUAUCAUUGAAAGAAGACUUCCCAGCCCUCUUUCUGAGUUGCUUGUUCCUAUCUAGGAAGCAGAGCAGAAGAGAAUUAUGAGAAGGUUUCACUUGGCCAAGGUUAAGUUACUGCUCAAUUGUAUCUGGGCUGCCAAAGUUGCUUGUGUAUCUUGAACCACAGCCCCCCUCCCUUACUUCAUAGCAAUAUACUUCUGAAAGUGAGGAGCAUUGUAAAAGCAGUUAGUGGCAUCCACAAGCUGAGAUCUACUUUGGAAGUCCUUCUCCAGGUAUCCUCUACCUUUGGGUGCUAAGAGGUGGUUAAGAGAGAGAGAGCUCAUUUUCUGUGAUAUCCUCAAAACUUCAAUUACUUUCAUUUUGCUACAUGGAGUUUUAGAUGGGCUGGUUUUUAUUAUUAUUAAGUAUUUCAUAGUUUACAAAAAUACAUGUGAUGUCUCUUUUUCAAGAUGUGUUUUCUACAGAUCAGUUUCAUUUGUUGUGAUACAUUAGUGUAGCAUGCAUUCCCCACCUCAAAAUAUCUGCAAAUCUGGGGACUAUGAUUAUUAAGUUGCACUGAUACACAAUGUGUAUAUAUCAGGGGCUGGGGGUAGGUGUUACUUUGGCUUUGGGUUGUUUACUGUCUUCUGCAGGAUAAAUAUUGCAUAAUUUUUGUGUAGUGCUAUCUGUACUAAUCCAAGAGAAUGACAUUAAUUUGUAAGCCUUGUAAUUAUGUUCAGCAAUAAGCAAAAUAAAAGACCUCUCUGUGGAACCCCCUGCUAGGGUGGUGGCAAUAAUUAACACAAGCAGGUUGAAGUAUGAGAAUUUUUCUGAGUCCCACACUCUCCUGGGUAUAGUAUAACUGUGUCAGCAAUAUCUUAAUAAGAAUUAGCACCAGCAAGUAUCUCUUUGUUUGGAUUUGCAUAAGUCAGCUAUUUAUUAUCUAUAUCUAUAUCAGUGUGGAUUAGUGUUAAGUGGCAUUUGUUUAUAUCCCGUCUAAAGAAACUGUUUAUUUGCUGUCUUAAAAGCAGCUUCUUUCUUUUUGUCUUUUGCUGAUGACUUUUGUUUUUACCUUCUGAAUGUUGAACCUGCCCAUUUGAAAGAGGCACAACUGCAAUUUCAAUCCUGCAAACACCCAUCAUUGCAUUCACAUGGGAAAUACAUUAAAAGCUAAAAAUUUGUGAUGGGGUUGGGGGGUCGGAUCACGAAAAGCAUGCAAAAUUGCAUGUAAUAGAUUGUAUUAGCAUGGAUUUUUCCACUUGAGUGUGGCAAGAAAACCUCAGCAGAAUGUAAACAAACACAUACAUCUUUGACAUUUAGGAAUGCAGAAUAUUUUCCUGCUCACAUGUUUCCCUGACACAGGAAGAAAGAGUGAAGCGCUAUUAGCUGUCAUUAAAUUUCUUAUGGAACCACCUUUAAUGCCUUUUCUCUCAGAGGCAGAGAUGCAAUUAUGAAAAGGGGCAGAUCAGUUUGGAGUCUUACUUGUGUUGAUUGCAUUAUAUUUGUUAAAAAAUAAACCCAGUGAAAUUAAAUAAACAGCAGUUGAGUGGAUUUUUGAAUUAAUUUCCUGCUGCUAAUGGACAAAGGAAGGCUUGUAAAACAAAGGUGUAUUCUGUGAGUUUGCUGCAAGGCACCAAGGGGUGAAGUUAAGAAUAUGGAUGAAGGGUUAUCCAAACAAGAAUGGCAGCUGUUCUGAAUCACAGCACAAAAUGUAAGCUUUUUCCAGCCUGACAAUAUCUCCCUAAUCCUUGAUGAAAAUGUUAUGAAAACAAAGGGACAAUGAGACAGGAUUAAUAAGUGGAAUUUUAAUAACAUUGAGGGUCACAAUACGGUUACAUUCUUUAAAGAGUCAACUGUCGUUCCAGAAGCUUUAGUUGUUAUAAUACGCUUUGCUGCUUGUUGGUUUUAUAAAUUACAAUAAUAAUAGACAGAAAGUGACUUUAGCAUCAAUUUGAAAUAUUAAGAACCACUAUUUGGCAAUUUUACUUAGCUGUACUCACUGACUUUUGUGCUUUUUUAGUUCCUGCAACAAACCUCUGUUCAAAUUGUUACCAUUUGAGGUGUGUUUUGCUUGAUAAAAUACACAACUUCUCAUCAGUUGUGUAAUACAUUUUCAUUGUAUCCUGGGCAUAAAAUUCAUUGUGUAACAUCUGUGAUAAACAAAGCACUGAAUAUUUUAUUAGUUUUAGAAAUAGAUAACUGAAUAAUUAUUUAUAAAGUCCAGAUUACUUUGCAUAGUGGAAGCAGUUUCACUACAGUUUCACUGUACCGCUGUGUAAUACAGUGGUUGCCAGCCUUUUGGGACUGAUGGCACAUUGGAAAAUUUGAGAAGGUGCUGCUUUCAAAUGUGUAGCCUAACUCAAAAAAGCUGCCACCAUGAGGGUGCCCUAACACAAAAUGGUCUCUGCCUCACCUCCAAGAGAGCAGAAAAAAGAACACAAUAUGGUUCAAAUAUGGAAAAAUCCAUUGGUUUUGCUUGUUAACAUUUUUUAAAAAAACAUUUUAUUUUGCAGAUACUGUUAAAUCUUGGUUGUUACAUUGUUUUUUGCUGGUGUGUUGCUGUAGAUUAUAGCUAGAAAAUAAAAGAUGAUUGAAUCCAGGAGUAAUUUUUAAUUACACAUGCAUAGUCACAAAUAAAAGACCUGGGAGGCUGCCAAGUUUGUUUUUUAACUAUCUCAGCAGCAGAUAUGAUUGAAUAAUUAAAACCGCCCCAACACAACCUUUGUCCAGUCACUCUCUCUAAGCCCAGCCUGUUGAACUCAUCACAUACGAUGGCUGUGAGGUUUUUAAAAAAGCAAUGGCACAGACCCCUAUAAGCCACCCUGAGCAAUAUGGAGGAAGGGUGGGAUGGGAGUUUGAUAAUAAGCAAACCAAUCAUAUUUAUAUCCCACUUUUUCCUCUAACGACCAUACAUGGGUUUUUUUUACAAAACCAUUUUUAUUUUGCUGUGGAUAGACUUGUCCAAGGCUCCUCCAGCAAACCAAAUACUGUAGGUCUCUUGAUACCAAUUAUUCCUUCAUUUGUUCCACUUCCUCUUUGGCCACAGUUCCGUGAAGAGUGCAAUGGAUGCUGCAUUUGAUUAUUGUGUUUCACCUACCUAUUUAGAAGGGAAGAAAUUUAAUUUUAAACCUAUAUCUGAUUAAUACAUACAGCUUAGGCAAGAUGGCUACAUGAGCGUGAUCUCGUCCUUGUGCUGCAUACUAAUGUAGAGUAAUGAUUUAGGAGAGAAGAACACAAAGUUACAUACAUACAUCAUUUUAUUUGUAUGUCAUCUUUCCAUAGUUAAAGCCAUGCUAAAGGUGGCUGAUAACAUGAAAAAAAUACAUAAUUACAAAUAUAACAACAGUAUCCAUCAUCAAUAAAUAAAACACAACCAAAAUGCAGUACAGUAAUCACAAUAAGAUCUGAAAAUAUCAAAAAUUUAUAUCAAUAACAGCAACAACUCCCACCCC